UCCCUUGCUGAAGAUAUUGGGGAAAAAAAAAAAGAACAAGAAGAAUCCAGAGGUGGUCUUAUAUGCAUGCAUUAUAUAAAUAACAAAAAGGAAAAGUGAUAAACGAAACUUGUUUUCAUUCUCUGCUAUUUGUUUGAAAGUUUGAUGCCGAUUCCAGGUUUUUUAUCCAGAUUCAAGUAAUAACACCCGAGAACCUCUUACCUAGAUCAUUUCGGGUCCCUGCUUCUGCGAUAAAAUUUGGGCGCCCCAGACUUUUUCUUUCUUUCCUUCGUUAUUUUGAAAUAUUGAUUUUAUUUUUUUUUUAAGUAAUAAUUUUGAAACAGAUGUGCCGCCAUACAUUUGUUUCGGUUCUGGGCAGAUCCUUGAACUUCCGUCGGAAUUUGGGUGCAUCACCAAACUCAUCGAUCGGGAUCUCUUCUGCCCGGAAUUUCUUGGCCUUUUGUCUCUUGAAUUUAUCGCCACGGAUUGUUUCUUCAAGUUUACAUACAAAAUCUGGCCUUGAAGAACCAUCGGCGGUACCUAUUUUUAUCCCCGCAGAGGGGGCUCUUCAUCGCGGUCGCCGUAAUUGUUUCCGUGCUUCCGCCACAAAUUUCUCGAUCAGGACCUUUUCUUGCUUCUCUUCUUCACAGGGUCUCGACGCUUCAGGUGAUGCGGAUGCAGCAGGCGAGCACUUGGCCGCCGUUCCUGAGAAGGUGUAUGCAGCCAUCAUGUCCUGCUCUGGUGCCGAUCAGCUUCUGGAGAGCAUUCUUGAUUCGCUCGGCAUACAGCCGACCACCGAGCUCGUGAAUGAUGUCAUCCGAAGGCUUCGCUACGAGGAAAAAUUAGCUUUCAGGUUCUUCACCUGGGCAGGCCAUCAAGAAGGGUACAACCACGAGCCUCCCGUGUAUGACGAUAUGAUCGAUAUAUUGUCCAGUACGAAAUACAAGGCACGGCAGUUUGGGGUGGUUUGCGAUAUUCUGGAUUGCAUGAAGAGAAGGAACAAGAACACGGUGCCCAUUGAUGCUCUCCUAGCAAUCUUGAGAACGUACACCGACAAGCAUCUCACCCAUCUCCGAAAAUUCGCGAAGAAGAAAAGAAUACGGCAAAAGACCCCGCCAGAAGUAGAUGCAUUUAACUUGCUGCUGGAUUCUCUCUGCAAGUGCAGCUUGGUCAGGGAGGCAGAACUUAUGUUCCACCGGGUGAAGAAUAAGGUUGUCCCGAAUGCGGAGACUUUCGAUAUUUUGUUUUAUGGGUGGUGCAGAAUGAGAGACCCUAAAAAAGCAAUGAAGGUGCUCGAGGAAAUGAUGCAGAUGGGUCACGCCCCGGAGAAUUUCACAUACAAUGCUGCAAUCGAAUCCUUCUGCGGUGCAGGGAUGGUUUCAGAAGCCAGAGAGCUUUUCGAGUUCAUGAGAACUAAAGGCUCCGCCAUAUCUUCACCAACUGCCAGGACUUAUAGUAUCAUGAUUGUGGCCCUGGCGAAGUCCGAUCUGAUGGAGGAGUGCUUUAGACUGCUAGCUGAUAUGAGAAGCAGCGGCUGCCUUCCUGAUGUGUCGACGUAUAUAGACAUGAUUGAAGGGAUGUGUUUGGCUGGAAAGGUCGAUGCUGCCUAUAAGAUACUGGAAGAGAUGAGCAAGACAGGUUUUCCACCUGAUAUCCUCACAUAUAACUGCUUUCUCAAGGUGCUUUGCAAACUUAGGAAGGCUGAAGAAGCUCUAGUGCUUUGCGAAAGAAUGAUAGAAUCAGGUUGUGAGCCUAGCGUCCAUACUUAUAACAUGUUGAUUACAAUGUUUUUUGAGAUGUGCGAACCGGAUAGGGCUCUUAGCAUGUGGGAUGAGAUGGAUCGAAGAGGAUGUGCACGUGUCGUGGAUACUUAUGGUAUAAUGAUUGACGGGUUGUUCAAUUGCAGGAGAACAGAUGAUGCAUGUUUACUUCUGGAAGAGGUAAUAAACCACGGGAUGAAAUUACCAUAUCAGAAAUUCGAUGCCAUUCUGAUGCGGCUAUCAGCAAUUGGAAAUCUUCAUGCCAUCCAUCGUCUAUCAGAGCAUAUGAGGAGGUUCUACAAUGUUGCGAUGGCCAGACGUUUUGCCAUAAGCCAGAAGAAGAAGAGCAUGAGAUUGAGGAGAAGAUAGGCUUUCAGAUUUCCAGUACAAUCACCCAAGGUUUUAUACUGAAGUCGAGUCGAAGCUACCUUCAGUUUGGUACUCAUUAGCUCUCACCAAUUUGUUUGUCAAGUAGUGUGCACUGAUUACCAAUGCCUCACAAUGUCCUGAUGCAACAAGCUUCUCUGCAAGAUUUGGAAUUAAUCCUUACGUCAUAGCAUUUACAGCACUAGACUCAUGGCCAGAUUUAGUUGCAAGCAAGAUUGCUGCUGGAAGAUCUUAUCGACAUUUUUUAUCAUUCAAACAGCACCUAAAUCUUUCAGAACUUAAGAAGACAUCUGACAUCUUCUCCAAUGUCAAGCUCGUUGGGCCAUUUCUGUGUACGCCGGUAAGGGGUAUAUAUCCUGCGAGUAGCAUCUUAUCUAUAUAAUCUUUUUUUUUUUUAUCGAUACAGGU